UAUAUACUCCCUCCGUCUGAAAAAACUUGUCCCUCAAAUGGAUGUAUCUAGCACUAACUUGAUGCUGGUGCUAGAUACAUCCAUUUGAGGGACGCGUUUUUUCGGACGGAGGAAGUAGUAA
rfam:Triticum aestivum genome assembly, contig: Triticum_aestivum_CS42_TGACv1_scaffold_221067_3B